rnacentral:lncRNA from 1 species
CUGGGUUGUCAUGCAUAUGUGAUAUGGUGUUGUUCAAGCUUCCAAACCAGAUUUUGUUAACAAAUGUUACAUAAACUGAUGUUAGAAGUGAUGUGAUGAGUAUGUCUCUUGAAAAUGUUUUCAUUUUUGGAAUAUUACUCAUCCUCACUCUUUUCAACUUAGGCAAAGAUAAAGUUGUACUUUGCCUGUAGAAACUAGUCAACAUGGGAAGAUCCAUCAUUACAAGACAUUCUAGUUUGGGAAAAAUGAUGGAUAUAUUUUCAUCUUCAGAUAUCUCACUAGAUAUGACUUCUUCUAUUUUAUCACAUUUACACAAUCUGAGUAUUUUGAGUUUCCCAAGAUUUUUUAUUGAAGAAAGUGAGAAUAAACUUUUGAGGUUGUGACAGUAGAAAAUGUAAAUUGAUACCAAAUUUGAGAAAAAUGAAACUUGAGGUUCCUUAUUCCAUAGAUACUUCAAUUUGAUUAGGUUAAUCAAUGCCAA